AUGUGAUGGUAACCCUGUUGUAUUUAUCUGUUUAACCUCUUCCUGUCCCAGCUCCCGCCCUUAGCCUAUAAAAGGUGUGAUUAUUUUCUCAAUAAACCGGAGGCUUGAUUGGGUUAACAUCAACUUGCCUUCGUCUCUUUUUGUCUCCCCCAUGUCUUUUAUUUAAUCCCCGUUUCCCCUCCAGGAGUUCCAAACUUGUUGAUCUGCAGGCCGGAUCAAGUGGCGCCCAACGUGGGGCUCCUGGCACGGAGAAGUUAACGAGGGAGCCGUUCAAGAGACAGCCGGCUUAAACUGAAAGUAAAAGCAAAUUAAACCAGAGACCUCGGCCGAGGAAUGAGUAAACUAAAUCAAGGAUUAAAGCUUAAAGCAACAGGACAUUAAAUCAAGUGCCGAGACCUGCGCAGACGACUACCCGAUGUCCUGCCCGAGUCACGGUGACACAUCUCCCUGGAGCCUUAUGCUGCUUAACCAGCCUUCUUGAGCCACACCACAUCCAUGGUGGAUUUUGACCCCUGCCAAACAGACUACAACUGCUGACAGCCAUGCACAAAACCCCAUGACUGCGGAAGAGGCUCUUCUCGGUCUAGAGAAACAUACACCAGCCAAAUAGACUACAUCCAAUGUUAUUCAAGGCAUGCUCCAAGACACAGGAGAAUGACUUCAUACAGAGACACCAACAAAUGGCUGUCAACCCCUUCUCCUUGAUUUUGGGGGGGUGUCGAUGUCCGCUCCCGGCCGGCAGGAAGGACACACGACAAAGUCUGGUAGUGGACAACCUUUUCUUUUUAUUUUCCUUCUCCGUACAGCCUGCCCUGGGUUCUCCCAGCUGAAGCCUCCUCUGGUCCGCUCCCCACGGCUCCUUUUGUGCUUCAGUCUGCCCCAAAGCCUCUACCGGUCCGCUCUCCGCGGCUCCUUUUGGGCUUCUACUUCCGGGCUUCUAUCUGGCUUCUACUUCCGCCCAGGGGUGGCACCGGUAUAUAUACGGGUACAGUGUCCAAUCAUGUUAAAGUAAGCAAGGCAAGCUGAUUGGCUAACAUCAUCAGUUGCCAGGCAGACUAUAUUGUUGAGCGGGUUGUUUACGCGGUAAGCAGGAAACUAACAUAUUCGAUGGGAGGGGUAAUCUACCUCAGGCCUCACUCUUUACUACAGGCCUCACGUCCGCCAAGUGAGGCGACCGGGCUCGGGGCUGCGGCUCCCAACAGGGGGGGGGAGUUUUUCCCUUACCUAAUGCCCCCUUUUGGGUUCCCUAGCUGACCUAUUGUUUCUCAUUUCUGUGAGUCUUGUAUUUUUCAGAGGAUUAUGAUGUUCAUUAAUAACCGGAUAAACGCAUUUAUGGCAAAGCCCAUUCAGGUACACUAUCAUCAGCUGGAGUUGGCAGAUCAACAAACCUACAGGGAAGAAAUUCCCACGAGUGGCCCAUAUGAUGAUGCGGCCUGACUGCCCUGGGGCAAUGGACAGGCAGUCAGAGACGGGCAACUAGGACAUGCAUGUUAACUCCAACGGCCACCUAAGACAGGCACAGGACCAACUACUGUUCUGCAAGCCCAUGACGGGUAAGGCCUGGUUGGGUUCAUACAAUAAGGUCCUUGACCUAAGACAAACGCUGUCCUCACAGGGCCUGCCAUACUCUUAAUUAAAUAAUAUAAAAAGGGAGGAGAUGUAGGGAGCCGAGUGACAGGCACUGCUGCCUAGAUGUCUCUCUCUCUCUCUCCUAUGGGCACUGCGUCUGCCUACAUUAACCAUAAUCCUUUUCUGCUUACGUCACUUAUCCGGAUGUGAUGGUAACCCUGUUGUAUUCAUCUGUUUAACGUCUUCCUGUCCCAGCUCCCGCCCUUAGCCUAUAAAAGGUGUGAUUAUUUUCUCAAUAAACCGGAGGCUUGAUUGGGUUAACAUCAA